GGAGGGCAAGUCUGGUGCCAGCAGCCGCGGUAAUUCCAGCUCCAAUAGCGUAUAUUAAAGUUGUUGCAGUUAAAAAGCUCGUAGUUGAACCUUGGGCCUGGCUGGCCGGUCCGCCUCACCGCGUGCACUGGUUCGGCCGGGCCUUUCCCUCUGGGGAACCGCCUGGUCUUCGCUGAUCGGGUGGGGGAACCAGGACGUUUACUGUGAAAAAAUUAGAGUGUUCAAAGCAGGCCUAUGCUCGAAUACAUUAGCAUGGAAUAAUAGAAUAGGACGUGUGGUUCUGUUUUGUUGGUUUCUAGGACCGCCGUAAUGAUUAAUAGGGACAGUCGGGGGCAUCAGUAUUCAAUUGUCAGAGGUGAAAUUCUUGGAUUUAUUGAAGACUAACUACUGCGAAAGCAUUUGCCAAGGAUGUUUUCAUUAAUCAGGAACGAAAGUUAGGGGAUCGAAGACGAUCAGAUACCGUCGUAGUCUUAACCAUAAACUAUGCCGACUAGGGAUCGGACGAUGUUAUCAUUUGACUCGUUCGGCACCUUACGGGAAAC
rnacentral:rRNA from 1 species